rnacentral:rRNA from 1 species
CCUACGGGGGGCAGCAGUGAGGAAUAUUGGUCAAUGGACGCAAGUCUGAACCAGCCAUGUCGCGUGCAGGAAGACGGCUCUAUGAGUUGUAAACUGCUUUUGUACGAGGGUAAACGCAGAUACGCGUACCUGUCUGAAAGUACCGUAUGAAUAAGGAUCGGCUAACUCCGUGCCAGCAGCCGCGGUAAUACGGAGGAUUCAAGCGUUAUCCGGAUUUAUUGGGUUUAAAGGGUGCGUAGGCGGUCGGAUAAGUUAGAGGUGAAAUCCUGAGGCUCAACCUCGGAAUUGCAGCUGAUACUGUUCGUCUAGAGAGUAGUUGCGGUAGGCGGAAUGUAUGGUGUAGCGGUGAAAUGCUUAGAGAUCAUACAGAACACCGAUUGCGAAGGCAGCUUACCAAGCUACUUCUGACGUUGAGGCACGAAAGCGUGGGGAGCAAACAGGAUUAGAUACCCCAGUAGUC